CCUACGGGAGGCAGCAGUGGGGAAUAUUGCACAAUGGGGGAAACCCUGAUGCAGCAACGCCGCGUGAGUGAAGAAGUAUUUCGGUAUGUAAAGCUCUAUCAGCAGGGAAGAAGAUGACGGUACCUGAAUAAGAAGCACCGGCUAACUACGUGCCAGCAGCCGCGGUAAUACGUAGGGGGCGAGCGUUACCCGGAUUUACUGGGUGUAAAGGGCGCGCAGGCGGGAGAGCAAGUCUGGAGUGAAAGCCCGGGGCCCAACCCCUGAACUGCUCUGGAAACUGUGCGUCUAGAGUACUGGAGGGGCAGGCGGAAUUCCUGGUGUAGCGGUGAAAUGCGGAGAUAUUAGGAGGAACACUAGUGGCGAAGGCGGCCUGCUGGACAGUAACUGACGUUGAGGCUCGAAAGCGUGGGGAGCAAACAGGAUUAGAUACCCUGGUAGUC
rnacentral:rRNA from 1 species